rnacentral:misc_RNA from 1 species
GAACUGCGAUAAGUAAUGUGAAUUGCAGAAUUCAGUGAAUCAUCGAGUCUUUGAACGCACAUUGCGCCCCCUGGCAUUCCGGGGGGCAUGCCUGUCCGAGCGUCAUUGCUGCCCUUCAAGCCCGGCUUGUGUGUUGGGUCGUCGUCCCCUCCGGGGGACGGGCCCGAAAGGCAGCGGCGGCACCGCGUCCGGUCCUCGAGCGUAUGGGGCUUUGUCACCAGCUCGAUAAGGACCGGCCGGGCGCCAGCCGGCGUCUCCAACCUUUUUUUCUCAGGUUGACCUCGGAUCAGGUAGGGAUACCCGCUGAACUUAAGC